CUCAAAAUUUUAGAUUCCAUAGAACUUCUGUUUGUAGUGAAAAAAAGGGUAUCUGUAGCUUUUCAGUUGAUGUCUAUUUAAAUCAAUAGAAUACCUGUUGAGUAUAUGUGUUCAUUGGUGCACCAUGCUGAAUUACUUUUCCGUUCAAAAAAGCAAUUACUUUUGUAUAUUGUGAUGCCUCCCAUAGUAGUUUGCACCCUGGAACCAACCAACAGCAGAUGCAAUAUAUUUUUCCAAGUAUAUACCGCCCUUACUGUUUUAAAAAACAUACGUUGUUGAUUCCUUUUUUAUUUUUUCCUACACCCUGCUGUGGGAUUCUUAAUAGCCUUACCUGCAUAUGAACAAACUGCAAGAGACAGAUACAGUUCCUGACCUAUGAAAGGCUGUUUCAUGACUUAUCCAUCUCACAUGACCACCUUCUAUAUCUACAGGUAUUUAUCAGUUCUUUCUACUUACAUGGCGGAUAUAUCUACAAGUAAACCUACAGGUUCUUUGUAGUUCAAAUGCAGUAUCCUAUAUCAUUUUUAUUAUUAUGCAGAACUGUUUGUUCAGUCACAUAUGCCCUUUACUAGAGAGAGCGAAAACGGAAAACUAUUGUGGAGCAAAUUAGAUGGGCGAACCAAUAGAUAAUUAUGUAGCCGUUCUUGGGUGUCAAUGGAUCACAGUUUACUAAUCAUAUCGAGAAAAUAAAUAUAACUACUUGAGAAUAAAGGGAAAAUGAGAAUAAAGGAUGGUUGUGGUAGUAGAAUGGUAGUUUUGCUUAGGCGCAAUCAUACUUAUGGAGUAGUAAAUAACCUGUCAUGUCAUUCUUCAAGUCUGCACAUAGCAUUGUUAUUGUAGGAGCAGAUUUCUCAUCCUUAAGGAACCUGAACUUGCUUAAUAGCCAAUUUAGUGGUGUAAUACUAGUUUCUUGAUGUCAACUCUAAUGCUUCUGUUUACAUUCCUUGAUGUCAUUUCUGUUUUGCAAUCAUAUGACAUUGUCUCAUGUAAAUGAGUAUGGGCUGCUGUCAAUUUUUUAAUCUACAAUUCAUCUAGUGGUUUUUUACAUGGUAGCUUAAUAUCCUCCUUUUCUAAUAUGCAAACUUCUAAUAUGUGAGGUGAAUAAGUGCAUGAGGUGCGGUUCGCCUUAGGCUGCUCCUGCUCGUCGGCUGUCUGGUCCAGCGUCACUUAACCGUUGUGACCUGGCUGGUUUGGUUCAGCUUCGAGCUGCCUACCGCGGAGUGGGAGGCCGACACGCUCAUGAACAUCGAGGCCAGAUCAAGGUUAUGAUGAUAUUUCCAAGGAAAUAUACUGACCCAGAUGUGACGAAGGGAAGGCCAAAGAAAGAAAACACAAAAACAGUAGCAUGCAACUGCCAAGCCUUGAUCAGACUACACCGUACAACAGAAAAUGGAUGGUAUAUACACGAUUUCAGAACUGAACACAACCACCAUUUUGUCAUCGUCGUGUGGCGAGAAACUACAUUGGCCAUCACACAGGAUCAUUGACACACCAAAUAUAUAGUGAAAUGAUGUGCUCUAUGUUCAUUCUACUGUGUUAUUGAGAUCCUGUGGUGUAAUUAUACUGCUGUGUUAUUUUGAGAAUUAUAUUAUUA